rnacentral:rRNA from 1 species
AGUGAACGCUGGCGGUAGGCCUAACACAUGCAAGUCGAACGGCAGCACAGUAAGAGCUUGCUCUUACGGGUGGCGAGUGGCGGACGGGUGAGGAAUACAUCGGAAUCUACUUUUUCGAGGGGGAUGACGUAGGGAAACUUACGCUAAUACCGCAUACGACCUACGGGUGAAAGCAGGGGAUCUUCGGACCUUGCGCGAUUGAAUGAGCCGAUGUCGGAUUAGCUAGUUGGCGGGGUAAAGGCCCACCAAGGCGACGAUCCGUAGCUGGUCUGAGAGGAUGAUCAGCCACACUGGAACUGAGACACGGUCCAGACUCCUACGGGAGGCAGCAGUGGGGAAUAUUGGACAAUGGGCGCAAGCCUGAUCCAGCCAUACCGCGUGGGUGAAGAAGGCCUUCGGGUUGUAAAGCCCUUUUGUUGGGAAAGAAAAGCAGCAGGUUAAUACCCCGCUGUUCUGACGGUACCCAAAGAAUAAGCACCGGCUAACUUCGUG